rnacentral:rRNA from 1 species
GCAUGGUCUUAGCUUGCUAAGGCUGAUGGCGACCGGCGCACGGGUGAGUAACACGUAUCCAACCUGCCGUCUACUCUUGGCCAGCCUUCUGAAAGGAAGAUUAAUCCAGGAUGGCAUCAUGAGUUCACAUGUCCGCAUGAUUAAAGGUAUUUUCCGGUAGACGAUGGGGAUGCGUUCCAUUAGAUAGUAGGCGGGGUAACGGCCCACCUAGUCAACGAUGGAUAGGGGUUCUGAGAGGAAGGUCCCCCACAUUGGAACUGAGACACGGUCCAAACUCCUACGGGAGGCAGCAGUGAGGAAUAUUGGUCAAUGGGCGAUGGCCUGAACCAGCCAAGUAGCGUGAAGGAUGACUGCCCUAUGGGUUGUAAACUUCUUUUAUAAAGGAAUAAAGUCGGGUAUGCAUACCCGUUUGCAUGUACUUUAUGAAUAAGGAUCGGCUAACUCCGUGCCAGCAGCCGCGGUAAUACGGAGGAUCCGAGCGUUAUCCGGAUUUAUUGGGUUUAAAGGGAGCGUAGAUGGAUGUUUAAGUCAGUUGUGAAAGUUUGCGGCUCAACCGUAAAAUUGCAGUUGAUACUGGAUGUCUUGAGUGCAGUUGAGGCAGGCGGAAUUCGUGGUGUAGCGGUGAGAUGCUUAGAUAUCACGAAGAACUCCGAUUGCGAAGGCAGCCUGCUAAGCUGCAACUG